GCCAUCGCUAACUCCUCUUUCAUCGCCACGACUCUCUCUUCUCCUUCUUCUUCUUCAUUGAAGCUCUUCUGAUCAUAACUGCCUUUCAGAGUAGCCAUGUGAAUCGUAAUACAAUUUCAUAAUUGGCUUAGUUAGGAGGCAGAGAUCAAACUGUUUGAUCAAUCUAGGGUUGGUCAUUCAUAAUCCAAGGCCUUUUUGAGGGGACAAUCUUGCUAUUCCUCUAUUGAUUGUCCUCCAAGCAGCCUUAGACAUCUAAGCAGAAAAGAAAGAUCUCCAGGUUUAAUUCUUUAUUUAUUUAUUUAUUUAU
rnacentral:misc_RNA from 1 species